rnacentral:lncRNA from 1 species
GUCCUGAUGAUGACAGGAUAAAGAGAGGGGACCUCACAUCCCACCAGCCACUCCAGUGGAAAAAUCCAGCAAGGGAGAAGGGAAAUCAUUUGCUAAGCAGCCAGAAUAAAUCGACAAAUUGCCUGUGAGCCUUCCCCAGAUAGCGCCGUGUUGUCACCGUGAAUUGCAGUGAGCCACGUCAAGAACUGACGUACAUGGCCAUGGAGCGGAACCGAUGACCAUGGUGGAGAGAAUCGCAUUCCUGACGUGGACUGAUCACAGUCCAGACCCUGAGAGUACUUUUUUAGCAGAAACAACUGCAGACACACUCAGCCACCUCAUCUUUGACAAAGGAGCCAACCACCCUCACUGGAGGAAAGAUUGCCUCUUUAAUAAAUGGUGUUGGAAAAACUGGAUUUCAACCUGCCAAAGAUUAAAACUAGACUCAUACCUAUCACCAUACACUAAUCUAAGAUCGAAGUGGAUUAAAGAUCUGAAUAUUAAAACAAACACUAAACUUGCUGGAAGAUAAGUUAGGUAGAACUCUUGAAGGC